rfam:Flavobacterium succinicans strain DD5b FLB_contig000035, whole genome shotgun sequence.
CUCUAGCCCCGAUGGCAGUGGCAUCCUUUGCCUUUUUUCUUUAAAAAGGCAAAGAUAUAACGGACAGCGGGACUAUUG